rnacentral:rRNA from 1 species
UAGAGUUUGAUCCUGGCUCAGGACGAACGCUGGCGGCGUGCUUAACACAUGCAAGUCACGGGGGCCCGCAAGGGUAACCGGCGAACGGGUGCGUAACACGUGAGCAACCUACCGAAUUGUGGGGGAUAGCCGGCCCAACGGCCGGGUAAUACCGCAUACGAUCGAGACGAGGCAUUUCGACUCGAUGAAAUCUACGGAGCAAUUCGAGGGGCUCGCGGCCUAUCAGCUAGUUGGUGAGGUAACGGCUCACCAAGGCUACGACGGGUAGCUGGUCUGAGAGGAUGGCCAGCCACAUUGGGACUGAGAUACGGCCCAGACUCCUACGGGAGGCAGCAGUGGGGAAUCUUGCGCAAUGGCCUAACGGCUGACGCAGCGACGCCGCGUGAGGGAUGAAGCCCUUCGGAGUGUAAACCUCUUUUGCCCGGGACGAACUGCCAGAUUUAUCUGGCUUGACGGUACCGGGUGAAUAAGCACCGGCUAACUCCGUGCCAGCAGCCGCGGUAAUACGGGGGGUGCGAGCGUUGUCCGGAAUCACUGGGCGUAAAGGGCGCGUAAGUGGUCUGAUAAAGGUGUGGUGGAAAGCCCGGGGCUCAACCCCGGGUCGGCCAGGCCGACUGUUGGACUGGAAUGCUUGUAGGGCAAGCGGAAUUCCGGGUGUACCGGUGGAAUUGGAAAAAAUCCCGAAGAAAACCCGUGGGCGAAAGCCGCCUGCCUUGGCAUUACUUAAACUUAUUCCCCAAAUCCUUGGGGAACAAGACAGGUUAAAUACCCCCUGUAUCCGCGCCUAAACGAAUGUGUAUAAGGUGCCUGGGGAACCCACCCUUUGUUGCCG